AGGGGACACUGUCGCACCGCUGAGGGCUCAGGAUCCACCGGCAGAGUCGAACUGCAAGAACUGAGCUUGUCCAACAUCCUCCGGGAUUUUAUUUUAUUUUUCUAUCUUCCUUCCCUUCUAUAAAUGAUCCUGGAAUUUUACCUGCCCUCAUGAAAUGAGCCGCCCUCAGCAGCUUCUUCCAUCCUGCCGUCCUACGCCAGAGAAGAAAAGACCCAGCACCAGGAAAUAAAGAGUGCCCAAAUCUUCACCCCUGUUUCAGAUGUUCAGUCCAUUUUCAUCAUGGCAGGGAGCACUGUGGCAGAUGUGGUGCUGGAGCUGAGAGUGCUGCUUCUUACAGGGAACAAGAAGUCAAUUGAAAGUCACCCUGAGGCAAGCAUGAGCAAAAGAGACCUCCACACAGCUGCUUCUUGCCAUGGCAGUUGGCUUUCCCCAAAAUGGAACUCUGGAUGCUGCCUCACCACUGCUGUUGCUGUCAUGGUUAAUCUGCUGUAUCUUCUUCAUGUUACCAGCUCAGCCUACACAUGAUAAAGGUCAGAUCCAAUUUCUUCCUGUGACAACCAUCUUACAAAUGUCUCCCAAUGGAUCUCCUCAUAGUCACAUCUUUGAGUUCCGUCUGCAGGAAAUGUUUGCAUCCCUACAAAAGAAGAGGCAGUUGGACUGAGAAGACAGCUCAGCAGGUGAAGAGCUUGCCACAGGAGCACGAGGACCUGCGUUUCAUCUUCGGCACCCACAUAAAGCCAGGCACAACAGUACACACCUGUAAUCCCCGCACUGACCAGAGGAUACUUAGGGCUUGCUGGCCAGCCCGUUUAACUGAAUUGGUAAUCUCCAGAUUCAAAAAGAGACCCUAUCUCAAAAAAUAUCUUGGAGAGUGAUUAAGGACACCUGACAUCACCCUCUGGCCUUCACAUACCCGCACAUACACGUGCACACAAACAUAGGACACAGAAGCACAUACUCACAAGAGGGGGGAAAGAAGGAAGAGCAGAGAGGAGAUGCCUGAGCUCACUGACUUCCACACACCAAGCAAAGGCCAGGGAACACACAGAAACACUGGCCACCCACAAGCUGGGAGGAGAGGCCUCAGAAUAAAACCUGCCUCACUGACCUUAAAUCUCUCAGCCUCCAGAACAGGACAUUCCUGUUGUUGAAGCCACCUGACUGUAGGCAUCUUGCUGUAACUUAGCAGCUGGCUGGGGUCCCUUGCUCCACUCAAAUAGAAAUUAUGAUUAGAGAGAAAUAGAUAUCCUUGUGUUGGCAGACCUAGGCCCUUGAGUGCCAAAGGCUUGUGGGCUGGGUUGCAGACUUGGAGCGUUCUAGCUGAUCCUGAAUGUCUCAAUUAAAAAAAAAAAAAAAAAAAAAAAAAAAAAAAAAAAAAAAACCAAUGUUUAUUUUAAGCAUUGAGUUUGCUAUAAUUUCUUCUUCUUCCUUCCUUUUUUUUAUGUGUAUGUAUGUAUGUAUGCCUGAGUAUGUAUAUGCAUGCUUCAUUUAAUUCUCACAAAACUCCAUGAACAGCUACUGUUAUCCCAUUCUGCAG
rnacentral:lncRNA from 1 species